AGCCCAGCCCAAGUUAGCUUUCACGAUUAGGUCAUUCGUUGUCCCCACAGCGGCGCCUAUUCCUCUCGAGCCUCCCAUGCCGGCCGCCGCCCCUCGUCACCGCUCCCCUGCGACCAACUCCUUUGCACGGCUGCGACCUACCUGCAUCCUGAUGCGCCGCCGCUCACCACUCCACUGCGAUCCUCCGUCCUGGCGCGCCGCACCUCGCCACAACCCUGCGAUCCUCCAUCCGGGCGCGUCGUCGCUCGUCACCACUCCCCUGCUGCCCUGCAUACCGGCGCGCCGCCCCUCGUCAUGGCACUCCUACAACCAACGACGAAUCUAAGGUACGGCCAUGUGCAGUAUCAGGCCUGCCCACCAAGUUUUCCCCCAAACCCAAGCCAAUCUCAUGUACCAACAGCGCAUGUUCUUAGCGCGCGAUCCGUCCUUGCCGUCAUCCAAUUCGCAGCUGCUGCCGAUGUAACCAGCGGGCCACGCCCAAAAUACCUGCCUCACAAAUAUACUUUGCCAAAUUGACUAUCCACCUCCAUAGUACUAUGCAUGUAAACGCCGUCCGAAUUGGCAUGACGAGUCAGAGAGGUAAGCAGGGCAGGACCUGAGCACGCUUACUAAUAGGACUGGAUGGAUACUGCUGCCACAGAUCUCAUUCUAGGUAUGACUACAUCUAUUUUUUCUUUGUAAAGGCAAGAAGAUCAGCAAGGUAGCACCCAAUCUGUUCAACUGUUCAUUAACGCACGAUUAAGCUCGCAAAGUAGCACCCAAUCUCAAUAGUGAUUCGUCCACUUAUUAAUAUUACAUGCAAGGUAAUGAUCGGGCCUCUCUAUACUAUGCAAAUUGAUAUGCUUGAGCAACAACAAACUGCAGCAAUUAAUUUAACUAGCAUAUAUUAACUACAAACAUAUCAGAGAUUGUAAAUCAAGUUGACUAUCAUGCACUAUAUAUAAGACUUUUACUAUUGUACGUCUUAACUUAGUCUGCAUGGCUUGCAGUGCACUUGCUACAACCAGAGUAUGUAUAUGGCUUUGAAACUGAGCAGAAUUAUUUAAUUUGCUUAUUAAUAUUAGUUAUUUGUUUAUAUUUUGCAGAUUGGUGCUUCUUUUCCUUUCUAAAAUAAAAGUUGAUCUUUGAGUUAUGUUAGUCAGAUAUGAUUAUUAUGCCAGACUAUAUCAUCAGCAAGGUGUUUUUAGUACCAAAUGAUGAAUAUUUCAACCACUAUUUGGCGUACUAUGUACUCAUGAAAUACACUCCAAGGAAACAAGCGCCUACAAAUUGUCCCUCUAAAAUUAAGUUAGGUAUGUGGCAUGCAAGUAGAGGAGAGGAUGAACUUGAGAAUUACCAAUUUUGCUCAUAUUUGAUCUGAUAAGGUAAGUUUCUUCAUAGCUUUUGUCGAUGGAUGUGAAAAUAUAUGUGCCAUCAAGCAUACUUUUAUUUUCUAUGAUCAUAUCGAUGCUUUAAAUCUUAGGCCUAAUAUAUUGCAAAUUCUAAAGACAUACGAAUCUUCUUGCGUAUGGCUUGUAAAUCUAAGAAAUUUCCCACCAAUCCUUUUUGGUGUCUUCUCCUAACCAUACCAGACCAAGGCCACCGUCAUGAGAAUAAGUGUGCAUUGUACAAGGCUUCCGUUGAAGCUAACUAUUGAUGUCAUAUUGAAGCUAACUAUUUUAGAUCACCAUAGUAGUUAUUCCCAGCUAACAAUGUGUAACACAAAAUGUUAGACUGUGCAUGGGUUCAUGAGUAGUAUGAAUAGUAGAAUGACCUUACUAGCCUUUUUUCAAUGUUUGAAGAAAAUUCUGCGGUUGGUCUUUGCAUUGUCGAUGAACGAUAUAAUUGUCAAUUCUAUUGUACGACGAUAGGGAUUAAAUCACAAAUCCGA